GGGGACCAUCUCCCAAGGCUAAAUACUCCCUAGUGACCGAUAGUGAACCAGUACCGUGAGGGAAAGGUGAAAAGCACCCCGGAAGGGGAGUGAAAGAGAUCCUGAAACCGUGUGCCUACAAGUAGUCAGAGCCCGUUAACGGGUGAUGGCGUGCCUUUUGUAGAAUGAACCGGCGAGUUACGAUCUCGUGCAAGGUUAAGCAGAAGAUGCGGAGCCGCAGCGAAAGCGAGUCUGAAUAGGGCGCAUGAGUACGUGGUCGUAGACCCGAAACCAGGUGAUCUACCCAUGUCCAGGGUGAAGUUCAGGUAACACUGAAUGGAGGCCCGAACCCACGCACGUUGAAAAGUGCGGGGAUGAGGUGUGGGUAGGGGUGAAAUGCCAAUCGAACCUGGAGAUAGCUGGUUCUCUCCGAAAUAGCUUUAGGGCUAGCCUCAAGGUAAGAGUCUUGGAGGUAGAGCACUGAUUGGACUAGGGGCCCCUACCGGGUUACCGAAUUCAGUCAAACUCCGAAUGCCAAUGACUUAUCCUUGGGAGUCAGACUGCGAGUGAUAAGAUCCGUAGUCGAAAGGGAAACAGCCCAGACCGCCAGCUAAGGUCCCAAAGUAUACGUUAAGUGGAAAAGGAUGUGGAGUUGCUUAGACAACCAGGAUGUUGGCUUAGAAGCAGCCACCAUUUAAAGAGUGCGUAAUAGCUCACUGGUCGAGUGACUCUGCGCCGAAAAUGUACCGGGGCUAAACGUAUCACCGAAGCUGCGGACUGUUCUUCGAACAGUGGUAGGAGAGCGUUCUAAGGGCUGUGAAGCCAGACCGGAAGGACUGGUGGAGCGCUUAGAAGUGAGAAUGCCGGUAUGAGUAGCGAAAGAGGGGUGAGAAUCCCCUCCACCGAAUGCCUAAGGUUUCCUGAGGAAGGCUCGUCCGCUCAGGGUUAGUCGGGACCUAAGCCGAGGCCGAAAGGCGUAGGCGAUGGACAACAGGUUGAUAUUCCUGUACCACUUGUUUUUGUUUGAGCAAUGGAGGGACGCAGU
rnacentral:rRNA from 1 species